GAACCACCUAACUUUUUCGAGUGCUCUGGAUGCAGCUCCCAUAAAUAUGGAGCGUUUGUUGCAGCUGCUCCACGGAUGCCCAGCUGAACUCCAUGAUUUUGACUUGAGGUGACAGCUGAAAAGCACCAGAAACCCUUGGAAUUUCAGAUCUAUAUAUUACUAUAAAGGAAGAAAAUAAAGUUCUGCUAGUAGAAGGCACACGUGUGUGAGCGCGCGCGCGCCCGUGCAAAACGGAGUCCAGGAGUGUGAACGUGCACCCAGGGGCUUGCAGCCUGGAGGAGGGGUCGUGUUGGACCACGCCAGCCCAUCAGAAUCAUCUCAAAAGAGCCCUCAGAGCAGCCCGUUGUGUUUUUUUUUCUUGAAUAGCCUGGGCCAUGUGGGAGCCUCUGCAAAUGCUCGCGUCCCGUUUUUACCUGGUCUUGUGUGGAAUAAAGACCAUAAACUUUCUGCAAACCAUUUCUUUUAAGAGGUGGGGUUUCCAGUUCGACUUCAAGAAGAGAAUGAUGUUUUGGAGUCCUGGUGUGUUACAGAAGAAUUCAGAGAACAAGAGGGACAAAGCAAGGUAAG